UUCGUGCCGUGGUUUAUAGAAGAAAUUUAAUCAACGGGGCUUUAAUCAAUCGAAUUCGCUGUGCGCUUUCAGUGAAAGUUGUGAGAACAUACAUCACUCAACUCGAUAAAUAAAUAUAAGUCAACGGCUAAGCGUUCCUUUAUUCGAUCAUUCGUGCUUGUAAUCUUGAGGUUACAAUGCUGAGUUGAUUAUCUCUAACCUAAAUACAUCGUCCUGAAUCUAGGCUGAUUCACUCCAAAGAUCGACUCUUCGUGUUUAAAGUCUCUCUCAUUCGUAUGCUUUAUAAGAGUUUCACGUCUGGUCGCAUACCAUAUACCUGCCCUUGACGUGUUUGUUAAGUUUUAAAUAUCAUAUAACACUAUUUGCACUAUUUAAAGCAGUUAAAUUCGGUUAUACAAUAGAAGGAUUACAAAAUCUACCAAACGCAAGGGGUUCUCAUAUUACUUCGCUACAGUGGGAAGUCGGCAUUUAUCCCCGGGCGCUUUUCAUUCAGAAGUUGUCGACGGAAAGGAGUGGAUAGGAGCAUGUUUAUAUUAAAAAAGUGAUAGCGCGUAGGUUGGAGACAAUGGAAGACGAACAUGAUACGAACAAGAGGACGGUAUCUUGUCUGCCUGGUAUGCCGGCAUUGCCUCGUGAAACAGGAACAAGGAACAAGGUACUUGUUCCAAGUUCGAAACUCAAUCUUUGUGCUAGAAAGGCUAGUAUUAAUUUGGAUCUGAAGAGGCGGUCGAAAAACAGUCGGGAUCGACUUCUUGUUACAUACUUGCAGAUUCCAGAGCACUUCACUGCUUUGUCGAUCCGGCUAUCGGAAGUACUCGAUGUUAUUGGAGCCGGGAAAUUCACCGUAAUGGAGAGGAGAGAAACAUUCUUGCUGAGGGAGAGCAUAAUGACGAUA